rnacentral:rRNA from 1 species
UACAGAGGGGGCAAGCGUUGUUCGGAAUUACUGGGCGUAAAGGGCGCGUAGGCGGCCUUCUAAGUCGAACGUGAAAUCCCCGGGCUCAACCCGGGAACUGCGUCCGAUACUGGAAGGCUUGAAUCCGGGAGAGGGAUGCGGAAUUCCAGGUGUGCGGUGAAAUGCGUAGAUAUCUGGAGGAACACCGGUGGCGAAGGCGGCAUCCUGGCCAACACUGACGCUGAGGAGCGAAAGCCAGGG